AGAAUCAACGCUGGCGGCGUGCCUAACACAUGCAAGUCGCACGAGAAAGUGGAGCAAUCCACGAGUAAAGUGGCGCACGGGUGAGUAACACGUGAAUGAUCUACCUCCGAGUGGGGAAUAACUGAGAGAAAUCUUAGCUAAUACCGCAUAACACUUACGAGUCAAAGCAGCAAUGCGCUUGGAGAGGAGUUCGCGGCCGAUUAGCUAGUUGGCGGGGUAAUGGCCCACCAAGGCGAUGAUCGGUAUCCGGCCUGAGAGGGCGCACGGACACACUGGAACUGAAACACGGUCCAGACUCCUACGGGAGGCAGCAGUGGGGAAUUUUGCGCAAUGGGGGAAACCCUGACGCAGCAACGCCGCGUGGAGGAUGAAGCCCCUUGGGGUGUAAACUCCUUUCGAUCGGGAAGAUGAUGACGGUACCGAUAUAAGAAGCCCGGCUAACUUCGUGCCAGCAGCCGC
rnacentral:rRNA from 1 species